rnacentral:SRP_RNA from 1 species
GCCGGGUGUGGUGGCGCGCGCCUGUAAUCCAAGAUACCAGGAGGCUGAGGCUGGAGGAUGGUUGGAGCUCAGGAGCUCUGAGCUGCAGCGGACUAUGCUGAUCAGGUGUCCGCACUCAGUUUGGUAUCAAUAUGGUCUUCCUGGGGAGCCUUGGACAACCAGGUCGUCUAAGGAGUGGUGAAUCGGCUCAGGUCGGAAACAGAGCAGGUCAAAGCCUGUGUGCCGCUCAAUAGUGGGAUCGCACUUGAGAGUAGACGCUGAAGCACAGCCUGAGUUACUCAUCCAGACCAAGUCUUU